rnacentral:rRNA from 1 species
GAUGAACGCUGGCGGCGUGCCUAAUACAUGCAAGUCGAGCGCGUGAAACUAAACAGAACUCUUCGGAGUGACGUAUAGCGGAUCGAGCGGCGGAUGGGUGAGUAACACGUGGGCAACCUGCCUAUAAGACUGGGAUAACUUACGGAAACGUGAGCUAAUACCGGAUGAAACCUCUUAUCACCUGGUAAGAGGAUGAAAGAUGGCUUUUAGCUAUCACUUAUAGAUGGGCCCGCGGCGCAUUAGCUAGUUGGUGAGAUAAAAGCUCACCAAGGCAACGAUGCGUAGCCGACCUGAGAGGGUGAUCGGCCACACUGGGACUGAGACACGGCCCAGACUCCUACGGGAGGCAGCAGUAGGGAAUCUUCCGCAAUGGACGAAAGUCUGACGGAGCAACGCCGCGUGAACGAAGAAGGUUCUCGGAUCGUAAAGUUCUGUUGUUAGGGAAGAACACGUACCAUUCGAAUAGGGUGGUACCUUGACGGUACCUAACGAGAAAGCCCCGGCUAACUACGUGCCAGCAGCCGCGGUAAUACGUAGGGGGCAAGCGUUGUCCGGAAUUAUUGGGCGUAAAGCGCUCGCAGGCGGUUUUUUAAGUCUGAUGUGAAAUCUUGCGGCUCAACCGCAAGCGGUCAUUGGAAACUGGAGAACUUGAGGACAGAAGAGGAGAGUGGAAUUCCACGUGUAGCGGUGAAAUGCGUAGAGAUGUGGAGGAACACCAGUGGCGAAGGCGACUCUCUGGUCUGUAACUGACGCUGAGGAGCGAAAGCGUGGGUAGCGAACAGGAUUAGAUACCCUGGUAGUCCACGCCGUAAACGAUGAGUGCUAGGUGUUAGGGGGUUUCCGCCCCUUAGUGCUGGCGUUAACGCAUUAAGCACUCCGCCUGGGGAGUA